GGUACUCGAGUGGCGAACGGGUGAGUAACACGUGGGUGAUCUGCCUUGCACUUCGGGAUAAGCUUGGGAAACUGGGUCUAAUACCGGAUAGGACAGCUGUUUAGUGUCAGUUGUGGAAAGUUUUUUCGGUGCAAGAUGAGCUCGCGGCCUAUCAGCUUGUUGGUGGGGUAAUGGCCUACCAAGGCGUCGACGGGUAGCCGGCCUGAGAGGGUGUACGGCCACAUUGGGACUGAGAUACGGCCCAGACUCCUACGGGAGGCAGCAGUGGGGAAUAUUGCACAAUGGGCGGAAGCCUGAUGCAGCGACGCCGCGUGGGGGAUGAAGGCCUUCGGGUUGUAAACUCCUUUCGACAGGGACGAAGCGUAAGUGACGGUACCUGUAUAAGAAGCACCGGCUAACUACGUGCCAGCAGCCGCGGUAAUACGUAGGGUGCGAGCGUUGUCCGGAAUUACUGGGCGUAAAGAGCUCGUAGGUGGUUUGUCGCGUCGUCUGUGAAAUUCCGGGGCUUAACUCCGGGCGUGCAGGCGAUACGGGCUGACUUGAGUGCUGUAGGGGAGACUGGAAUUCCUGGUGUAGCGGUGAAAUGCGCAGAUAUCAGGAGGAACACCGAUGGCGAAGGCAGGUCUCUGGGCAGUAACUGACGCUGAGGAGCGAAAGCAUGGGUAGCGAACAGGAUUAGAUACCCUGGUAGUCCAUGCCGUAAACGGUGGGCGCUAGGUGUAGGGGGCUUCCACGUCUUCUGUGCCGUAGCUAACGCAUUAAGCGCCCCGCCAGGGGAGUACGCCGCAAGGC
rnacentral:rRNA from 1 species